rnacentral:rRNA from 1 species
UACGGAGGGUGCGAGCGUUGUCCGGAAUCACUGGGCGUAAAGGGCGCGUAGGCGGUCUGGUAAGCGUGUGGUGAAAGCCCGGGGCUCAACCCCGGGUCUGCCGUGCGAACUGCUGGACUAGAGCACUGUAGAGGCAGGUGGAAUUCCGAGUGUAGCGGUGGAAUGCGUAGAGAUUCGGAGGAACACCGGUGGCGAAGGCGGCCUGCUGGGCAGUGUCUGACGCUGAGGCGCGACAGCGUGGGGAGCAAAC